UGGAGCUCCACCAACUUCAUUUAAGACUUUAGCUGCCAUGGCUGCUGGGAAAGAAAAAUAUUUAGUUGCAAUACAGAGCUCAUGUCUGUGCAUUUUUUCCCAGUCAUGGAGAACAGAGUUGCGUGGCUUCGUUUUAUUUUUGCUUGCAAUGUCCCUACGAUAUUGCCAAAGAAAGUUGUAGUUUGUGCAAAUCAGUUCAGGAAGGACUCUGAAAACUACAAACAGUACAAGGCAGGAUUGACCAAAAAUACUUGGACUGCAGGAAGGUUUUCUGUUCCUACUGUUCGUCGCAAUUCUGCAGAUGAUGGCGAGCGGAGUGUAGAAAUGAGAUGUGACAGAUGAGAAAGGAAACAGAGUUGUGCUGACUGAGACAAAUGGUCUGGAUGUGACGAGAGAUGUAGGAAGCGGGACAGAGACGGAAGAAGGUGGAGGAAGAGGGACGGAGCUGUGUGGCGGUGCUUGGAAGGCAGCGGCAGGCGGAAAGGGGCUGCAAGGUGCUUUCCCAGUUCUGGUCUUAAAGUCAUUGCUACAAAAACAUGUGGUCUGAAUUUGUUUGGAAGCAACAGAGAGACAAGAUCACACACACAGUAGGGCCUUGCACACAGGUCUCUAACACACAUGCAUCCAUUCCACUUAUUGUGAUCUAUGAAGUCAUGUCCUGCUGCUAGUGGGAAAAGACAAAGUGCUGUAGAUGAUCAAAGAAAAGGAUGUAAAUAAAAGGAGUCAUUUUUAUUGA